GAUGAACGCUGGCGGCGUGCCUAAUACAUGCAAGUAGAACGCUGAAGGAGGAGCUUGCUCUUCUGGAUGAGUUGCGAACGGGUGAGUAACGCGUAGGUAACCUGCCUGGUAGCGGGGGAUAACGAUUGGAAACGAUAGCUAAUACCGCAUGACAACAGUUAUUGCAUGAUAACUGUUUAAAAGGGGCAACUGCUCCACUACCAGAUGGACCUGCGUUGUAUUAGCUAGUGGGUGAGGUAACGGCUCACCAAGGCGACGAUACAUAGCCGACCUGAGAGGGUGGUCGCCCACCCUGGGACUGAGACACGGCCCAGACUACUGCGGGAGGCCGCAGUCGGGUAUCUUCGGCAAUGGACGGAAGUCUGACCGAACAACGCCGCGUGAGUGAAGAAGGUUUUCGGAUCGUAAAGAUCUGUUGUAAGAGAAGAACGAGUGUGAGAGUGGAAAGUUCACACUGUGACGGUAUCUUAACAGAAAGGGACGGCUAACUACGUG
rnacentral:rRNA from 1 species